GUCUUUACUUCAUAUCUGGGAUGAGGGUGCAUCUGUGAUGGAGGAAACUUGGUAAAACACUUUACCCAGUGAGAAGGUAGUUUAAAUACAUGGUACCUAUUACAUUUGUGCAUUUUUCAAACAUCUGUGCAUACCAGUGGGUGCAAAACAGGAGAGAGCUGCACACAAAAUCAUCUAAAGUGAAUCCCAGUUGUCCUGAUAUGAUCUGUUUCCGAGUUCAGACUUACUGCUGAUUUAGGCUGAAAACCAGAAAUUGUGCCUGUGGCUUCUCGGGGUGGCAGUGCAUUACAAAUUUCAUGCCAUUCAAAUUCUCAGAUGUUCCAGAAGCCAUUCUCCAGGUAAUUAAAAAAGACCCAGGCUUGUUUUGGUAAAAGUGGAUCAGUGUUUCAAUGGAACGACUCUGUUAACCUCAGUGUUCAAAGAGAGAGUGGCAUUUGGUUAUUUGCCUUUUCCUUUGAAAUCUGUGUUUUCCAGAGCACUUUUUGAAGUUUGAACUCUUUUUGGUUCUUUAGAACAUUGUUUAUUGAACACCUGUUUUGGGGCCAGGCCCUGAACUAAGUUCUGGGAGAUAAUGAACUUUUUAAAAAGUUAUGGAUGGAUGGAUGGAUAUCUUACUUGCAAAGAGAUUAUUGUCUGGUGGAGGCAAGAUAAAUUCAUCUCCAUGCAGCAUGUUGAGUACUAGCAGAGGAUCCCAAAGGGAGAAUUGAACAAGUGUAUCUAGAAGGAUGAAGCAAGACCCUCAUAGUGAUGGUAAAUUUGAACUGAGUUCAGUUUUGAGAGAUGGUAAGAGUUUGCCUGGCUGAGAAGCAGAGGAAGGAUAUUGGAAGAAUGUACAAAGAAGCAGUGAAAAAAAGAAAGAAAAAGCACACAGAGUGAAUGUGAGGAACCUUUGAUGUGGCUGGCGGUGAACGCUGAGCGGGGAGGGUGUGGGUGUGGAGUAGAGUGGAUCUGGGACGAUGAAGGCGGGCCGGGCAUCGACGUGCAGUGUUUGGGCGUUAUGGUCUCUAAGAAGGGAUGAGUGAGUUCCUUGAUCAUAUUUGCUUUCAGUAAAGAAAGGGACCUUAGCGCGAGAAGAAACUUGAAAAUUGAAAGCCAGUUAAGAAGAUUUUGCAGUGGAAGUUGACCAGAGGGCCAGAGCAGAAGCUGGGACAGUGGGACAGUGAGGGGAUCACAGACACGAAUAGAGAGGAAGAGUGUCGUGUUGGGAA